rnacentral:rRNA from 1 species
GAUGAACGCUAGCGACAGGCUUAACACAUGCAAGUCGAGGGGCAGCGGGGGCGAAGCUUGCUUCGCCUGCCGGCGACCGGCGCACGGGUGAGUAACACGUAUGCAACCUGCCCCUGUCAGGGGGACAACCCGCCGAAAGGCGGGCUAAACCCGCGUACAUGCCACCGGGGCAUCCCGGAGGCAGGAAAGGCUUCGGCCGGACAGGGAUGGGCAUGCGGCGCAUUAGGCAGUAGGCGGGGUAACGGCCCACCUAACCGACGAUGCGUAGGGGUUCUGAGAGGAAGGUCCCCCACACUGGUACUGAGACACGGACCAG